UGUAGCUAAACCGCCUUUAAAGCUCAGAAUGAGAUGUUUGGAUAUAAAACUUUCUCUGUCCCACUGCAAGAUAAUAUUGUCCUGAAAGUGCAGAACAGAGCAGCUCAAAAACCCUAAAAAUCCAUAAUCCUCGACAGCCAAAAAUGGACGAUAGUUUCAGAAUUCGAGUUGACAAAAUCUUCGGCUCUCUUUCUUCAUCUCCGAAUCUGAAUUCCCUUUGGUCCCUCACUGAUGACGAAAUUGAAAAGAAUGAGUGGAACCGGGAGAAGGAAUAACCCGAACCCGAACCGAAGUCAUUUUUCGCUAACGUUCGAGAGAAGAACAAAACGGAGCGGUUCGGUGAAGAUCUUGAGAAGGACCUGUUAGAUUUGGAUGAUGGUUUAGACGACGAAGCAGAGGCACGUGAUUCACAAGGUUCAUCGAGCCGGUCUGCUAAGGCAGAUGAAUAUAACGAUGAAGAGUGGGAGAUAAAGUGUAAUAUUGGUUUGGAUUGUACGCUUGAUUACGAGGAACCAAACAUUUUGAUGUAAUCAAAGUCAAUAAGAUAAGUUCUGAUUUCCAUUGGGGCAAGUUCCACUACCAGCUUUGAAGGAUCAACAGGUCCUCCUCUCACGACCUUCCCUUCUGCUUCUGCAGAGCGAUCUACUUUCCAGGCUAACCUUCUCUUCUCCAUGGCGGAUCUUUCUUGAUUGGCAGACAGGUUCAUCUCUGUCAGUUUACUUAUCUGAAAAGAACAUUGGAGUGGAAUCAAAAUUACGACAUGUUUAAUCAAUUAAUAGAUUGUUUUCAAAAUCUACUAGUUAAUGCUCUUACCUUCUUGUCCGGAAAUAGCUUCUUUAACUCCACACUAGUCAUUACUGAGUAGUCUUUGUCCUCUCCAGUCUGCAGACAUUUAUCAUCUCAGAUGCACAAAUAUGUAAAAAGAUUUCCACAGAAUGAUGUUAUGUAGGAUUCAAAUUUUAAGCUUCCCACCAAAGUCAUAAUCUCAUAUUGUUUGAUUUUGAAGAAUCAAUGCACUGAUCCACCACCAGGAUCACCAAUUCUAACA